rnacentral:tRNA from 2 species
GCGCCCGUAGCUCAACGGAUAGAGCGUCUGACUACGGAUCAGAAGGUUGGGGGUUCGAAUCCCUUCGGGCGCGCCA